GUGAGCAUAGUUUAGACAAAACAUUAAGCUGUGGACUUAAAAACAAAGACCAAUAAUCCUUUGCCCACC
rnacentral:tRNA from 1 species